CGGCCCGUAGCUCAGCGGUCGAGAGCGCCCGGCUGUAGACAGCCCCUGGGGGGACAGCCACAGAAAACCCCCCAGGCCUAUAACGGGCGGUCCCGGGUUCAAAUCCCGGCGGGCCGA
rnacentral:tRNA from 1 species